UACAGAGGAUGCAAGCGUUAUCCGGAAUGAUUGGGCGUAAAGCGUCUGUAGGUGGCUUUUUAAGUCCGCCGUCAAAUCCCAGGGCUCAACUCUGGACAGGCGGUGGAAACUACCAAGCUGGAGUACGGUAGGGGCAGAGGGAAUUUCCGGUGGAGCGGUGAAAUGCGUAGAGAUCGGAAAGAACACCAACGGCGAAGGCAGCACUCUGGGACGUGACUGACGCUGAGACGCGAAAGCGUGGGGAGCAAACAGG
rnacentral:rRNA from 1 species